rnacentral:lncRNA from 10 species
UUGGAGCACAUUUAUUUCUCUCCACCCAAUUUCUCCAGAAUUUGGAAACUAUUUGCUGUACAAGCAUGCCAUCAGCAUCUGACAGGCUUCUGAUGAGGCUUCAUGAAGCUUUCACUUGCAGCAGAAGGCAAGGGGAACCAGUGUGUCACAUGACACAAAGAGAAGAAUACCAUCUAGGAACCAGGAAGCAGGCCCUCACCAGACACAAAGUAAGUCUUCUGGCACCUUGAUCUUGAACUUCUCAGUUUCCAGAGCAGUGAGAAACUGGGUUGUUCAAACCACCCAGUUCGCGGUAUUCUAUUGUAGCGGCCCAAAUGGACUAAGACACUAGGAUAAAAAAAGUAUUUGUUAACUGCUCAUUUUUCAUAGUUGGAUGCCAUUAAAUAUUGUUUAACAUGGAUAAAAUUAGAAAUAGAGGAGAUUGGCUGGGCACAGUAACUCAUGCCUGUAAUCCCAGCACUUUGGGAGGCCGAGGUGGGUGGAUCACAAGGUCAGGAGUUCAAGACCAGCCUGGCCAAUAUGAUGAAACCCCAUCUCUACUAAAAAUACAAAAAUU